rnacentral:rRNA from 1 species
AACGAACGCUGGCGGCAUGCCUAACACAUGCAAGUCGAACGAGACCUUCGGGUCUAGUGGCGCACGGGUGCGUAACGCGUGGGAAUCUGCCCUCAGGUACGGAAUAACUCAGGGAAACUUGAGCUAAUACCGUAUAAUGACUUCGGUCCAAAGAUUUAUCGCCUGAGGAUGAGCCCGCGUCGGAUUAGCUAGUUGGUGAGGUAAAAGCUCACCAAGGCGACGAUCCGUAGCUGGUCUGAGAGGAUGAUCAGCCACACUGGGACUGAGACACGGCCCAGACUCCUACGGGAGGCAGCAGUGGGGAAUAUUGGACAAUGGGCGAAAGCCUGAUCCAGCAAUGCCGCGUGAGUGAUGAAGGCCUUAGGGUUGUAAAGCUCUUUUACCCGGGAAGAUAAUGACUGUACCGGGAGAAUAAGCCCCGGCUAACUCCGUGCCAGCAGCCGCCGCCG